GAUGAACGCUGGCGGCGUGCCUAAUACAUGCAAGUCGAGCGAACAGACGAGGAGCUUGCUCCUCUGACGUUAGCGGCGGACGGGUGAGUAACACGUGGAUAACCUACCUAUAAGACUGGGAUAACUUCGGGAAACCGGAGCUAAUACCGGAUAAUAUAUUGAACCGCAUGGUUCAAUAGCGAAAGACGGUUUUGCUGUCACUUAUAGAUGGAUCCGCGCCGCAUUAGCUAGUUGGUAAGGUAACGGCUUACCAAGGCAACGAUGCGUAGCCGACCUGAGAGGGUGAUCGGCCACACUGGAACUGAGACACGGUCCAGACUCCUACGGGAGGCAGCAGCAGGGAAUCUUCCGCAAUGGGCGAAAGCUUGACGGAGCAACGCCGCGUGAGUGAUGAAGGUCUUCGGAUCGUAAAACUCUGUUAUUAGGGAAGAAUAAAUGUGUAAGUAACUAUGCACGUCUUGACGGUACCUAAUCAGAAAGCCACGGCUAACUACGU
rnacentral:rRNA from 1 species